UACGGGGGGGGCAAGCGUUGUUCGGAAUUACUGGGCGUAAAGGGCUCGUUGGCUGCCCACUAAGUCCGACGUGAAAUCCCCAGGCUUAACUUGGGAACUGCGUCGGAUACUGGUGGGCUUGAAUCCGGGAGAGGGAUGCGGAAUUCCAGGUGUAGCGGUGAAAUGCGUAGAUAUCUGGAGGAACACCGGUGGCGAAGGCGGCAUCCUGGACCGGCAUUGACGCUGAGUGAGCGAAAGCCAGGGGAGCAAACGGG
rnacentral:rRNA from 1 species